rnacentral:rRNA from 1 species
UACGUAGGCAGCAAGCGUUGUUCGGAAUUACUGGGCGUAAAGCGUGUGUAGGCGGCCCACUAAGUCUGAUGUGAAAGCCCUGAGCUCAACUCAGGAAUUGCAUCGGAAACUGGAGGGCUGGAGUUCGGGAGAGGGUAGUGGAAUUCCUGGUGUAGAGGUGAAAUUCGUAGAUAUCAGGAGGAACACCGGUGGCGAAGGCGGCUACCUGGACCGAUACUGACGCUGAGACACGAAAGCGUGGGGAGCAAACAGG